AAACUCUUCCAUCCCCUUCCACCCACUGGCUUAUCACAGGAAUUAUGGGAUAUAUAUGGACGGAUAGGGACGAGGAGACACCUUAGAUAAGAUGGUUAAA